UGGCUCCUACGGGGGGCAGCAGUGAGGAAUAUUGGUCAAUGGGCGGAAGCCUGAACCAGCCAAGUCGCGUGAGGGAAUAAGGCCCUACGGGUCGUAAACCUCUUUUGCCGGGGAGCAAGGGCGGGGACGUGUCCCGGCCCGGAGAGUACCCGGAGAAAAAGCAUCGGCUAACUCCGUGCCAGCAGCCGCGGUAAUACGGAGGACGCGAGCGUUAUCCGGAUUUAUUGGGUUUAAAGGGUGCGUAGGCGGGCUUUUAAGUCAGCGGUACACAUUCGGGGCUCAACCCCGUCCGGUC
rnacentral:rRNA from 1 species